rnacentral:rRNA from 1 species
UGGGGAAUCUUGCGCAAUGGGCGAAAGCCUGACGCAGCGACGCCGUGUGGGUGAUGAAGGCCUUCGGGUCGUAAAGCCCUGUCAGGGGGGACGAAAUCUCGACGACCUAAUAUGUCGUCGACUUGACGGUACCUCCAAAGGAAGCACCGGCUAACUCUGUGCCAGCAGCCGCGGUAAUACAGAGGGUGCGAGCGUUAAUCGGAAUUACUGGGCGUAAAGCGCACGUAGGUGGCGAUGUAAGUCGGGUGUGAAAUCCCCGGGCUCAACCUGGGAACUGCAUUCGAGACUGUGUUGCUGGAGUACGGAAGAGGAGGGCGGAAUUCCCGGUGUAGCGGUGAAAUGCGUAGAUAUCGGGAGGAACAUCAGUGGCGAAGGCGGCCCUCUGGUCCAGUACUGACACUCAAGUGCGAAAGCGUGGGGAGCAA